AUGGCUGUGGUUGCCACCGUGACAGUUCACUCGGCUCUUUCUUCUCUUAGUCUAGGCAGUGACUGGAAAAUAUGAUGCUGGGGGCAUGCCUCAUGAAUUGUUUUGGAGGUGCUGCUGUCUCGCUACAACUUUUUCCUGCUGCUCCUUAUUUGGGCAGGGAGUAGGCUGAAUACAGAGAUACAGUACUAGUGCCUCUUCAUCUCAGAGAGCGUGCAAAGUUGCAGAUGCAUAUGUUAAAUGGGGCCCUCUUAGCAUUGCUGUUUCCUGUCGUUAACACGCGCCUGGUAUUUCCUCCCUCUUAAUUAAAUUCAGCAGGCUACAUAGUAUUUGCAUAAUGAAUCGGAGUGAUCUAUAAAUACCUGCUGGAUUUGUGUAUUGAAGAGAUAUCUAAGACACUGAGAAAAUGAUGGGAUGAGAGUGUUUCACUCAAAGCAGCUUCCAUUUGAAAUGGAAAUCUAUUACAUCCAGCGUGUGAUGCUCUACGUUGUGCCCAUCUAUCUGCUGCGGAAAGGAGGUAGGUUGGCACUUUGCCCUUUGUAUAUUGAAUUGGUCCCUUCCAGUGGAACAAGAUGUGCCUAACGGUUACCACAGAUUUUUGCUCUUUUUCUUAAAA